rnacentral:rRNA from 1 species
AGACGGGUGAGGAACACGUACGCAACUUUCCUCAAACCGGGGCACAACCUUGAGAAAUCAGGGCUAAUUCCCCAUAACAUUGCGAGAGGGCAUCUGAUUGCAAUUAAAGAUUCGUCGGUUUGAGAUGGGCGUGCGUUCGAUUAGCUAGUUGGUAGGGUAACGGCUUACCAAGGCAACGAUCGAUAGCUGGUGUGAGAGCACGACCAGCCACACGGGCACUGAGAUACGGGCCCGACUCCUACGGGAGGCAGCAGUAAGGAAUAUUGGUCAAUGGACGAAAGUCUGAACCAGCCAUGCCGCGUGAAGGAUGAAGGCCCUCUGGGUUGUAAACUUCUUUUAUCUAUGAAGAAAUGUCCUGUUUCUACGGGAUUUGACGGUAAUAGAUGAAUAAGCACCGGCUAACUCCGUGCCAGCAGCCGCGGUAAUACGGAGGGUGCAAGCGUUAUCCGGAUUUACUGGGUUUAAAGGGUGCGUAGGUGGGUUGGUAAGUCAGUGGUGAAAUACUUUCGCUUAACGAAGGAACUGCCAUUGAUACUACCGGUCUUGAAUACAGUGGAGGUAGGCGGAAUGCGUCAUGUAGCGGUGGAAUGCUUAGAUAUGACGCAGAACACCAAUUGCGAAGGCAGCUUGCUACACUGUUAUUGACACUGAGGCACGAAAGCGUGGGGAUCAAACAGGAUUAGAUACCCUGGUAGU